AUGGCUCAUUAUUUUAUCAGGUGGUAUUUCCCAAUGAGAGGAUAAAAAACUCCGGAAAAAAUAUUUCACCAUAUUCGGAAUAAAUCAAGAUCGAGUAAAGAAAUUCAAGGUAAUUGGUAAACAGAGUUGAUUAUAAAAACCAUGUCAGGUAUUCAAUAAUCAAGAGUUUCUUGUUCGAAUUCGAUCGAGUUACUGCGGCAAGAUGGGUCUCCGAACUAUUUUUAUAGCUCUUUUCAUCGCUAAUGUCGUUGCUGCCAGUUUUAUUCCUGAUCCUCGGACACAAAAUAGGGCAAGGAGAGAUCCAGACGGAUCACUGAUCCAGAGACGCGGCACUGAGAGGGGAGAACCUACAGGCACACACCACCAGCCUCCUCCACCUGAAUGUGUCAUUAAAAACAAUUGUAGUAAGCAUGUUUCACGUAUUUCAUCGUAUUGCACAAACGGAUGAGCAGAGUGUCUAGCAAUUAUCAAAACUAAAAGUCUCUGACAUUCCUCUGAUUUCCUCACGGCACAGCGCCUCAAAGUCAGCACUUCUCACCUCGAGUCAUAGCUCAUCCCGGCGUUGCCAGCUUUCCAUACAAAACGAUGGUUUUGUAUGGGUUUCCGGCUCGUCUCCUCACAAAACCAAGAGUGUCACUGCCGCGGUGGAUGACGUCAUAAACCGAAUUUUUCAAAGCGCUAAACCUCAGUUAAUAUUGAACGUAGAAAGUUGCUACUUGGAUGGAUCUUAUUAUUUUUAGCUGAUCCACAAGAUUCAAACAUGUACGCACGAUUCUGAGACCAGCGCAACUGAUUCAUUAUAUACUUUGGGAGUUUUAACUGAUAAAAUAUCGAUGAUAGAAGACCCAAACCACACAUCUCGGAACCCGAUUUUUUUCCGGGAGACCAUAUUCCUAAUCUCUAACGGUAAUUAUUCUUGAUGAUAAGAUACAAUUAAAUAGAUCUGUCAGGCCAGCAUCCUCGAAAAUAAUUCCAUCUGAUGUGAAACAUCAAAUACAAGUCGUCAGUAGCACUUGCUUUUUGUACUGAUUACCUGCAUUACAGUCUCUGUAGAUUCAAACCAAGUAUUUUGAUACAUUAAUCAAUAAUGCGCAAUAUUCAUGCAUCAUACUGGGCGAGUUAGAGAUUAAUGUUCGUUUUGCUUUUAAUUUUAAUUUUUUUUUCAUUAUUUUGCUGCAGAUAAGUAACCAGCACAUUCAACAUAUCACACUUAAAACGAGGAGAUGGUUCCGAUGUUCAACCGUUGCCGAGAGUUCACGGAAUGCAGAGUGGCUGAAUCUCGAAAAGAAUUGUUUUUAAUGUGUGCGGAAAUCUUUUGUAAACAAUCAACCUUUCCGAAUAUAAACGUUCGAAAAUAGACUACGUAUUAGAUUUUUUUUCUUCCAAUCAUAUACCCCCCCCCCCUUAUCACCCUGUUACAACAACGUGAAUAGGUCAACACCAUUGGUGUACCAUACCAAUGGGUUUGAACCAUUCGCAAGAAUGACAUUGCUACUAAAUGAGUCUACUGCAAAAUGAAGUUCGUAUUAGAGUGCCUACAUAUGGGAGAGUAUUGCCAUCGCUCUGUGCCAUUCUCUGAUUGGUUCAUCAGUUUUAGGCUAUCAUGGAGCUCCAAAGUGGGUCCAAUAUAAACAAAUCUGACCCGGAGGAACACGUAUUAACGGCUGAGCAAUGAAUGAUAAUCUCACUCAAAGGUUAAUAUUCGAUAAAAAUAUCCAUCAAAGUUCGAUCCGAACAAUUCAGAAGUUAGAUUUAAAAAAUUUCCAUCACAUUCAAAAUCACGUUUACACGGAAAAAACGGCUGUAGCGGUGGGCCCUACACUGUAGUGCUGGGCACUAAACAGUUCGAGGCUGGGUCACUAAAGAAAUAGUAGUGUCCAGCCCUGAAAUGACUUAGGCGAGCGUAAAAUGUGGAACGCCUCUGCCUGGGACCGAACCAUAGUCGCGCCGAUGAUAGACUAGCGCGUUGCCACCGGGCUAUGGUGACUCGUAUACCUUCGUGCGUGAAUUUACACCUCUCAAGCACAACUGCGUCUCGCGGCAUCUAAUCGGCACUACUGGUGUUCAAUGCCCACCUCUACUGCCUUUCAGUGCUGAGCUGUACAUCCUUAGACGUCAGCUCUCAACUGCUCACCACUGACGGCCAGUAGUGCCCAGAACUAAUGUUGUUUUUUCCGCGUAGAACUUUGUAGAACUGUGUCACAAUCUUAUUUAUUUACAUUUGGCCAAACUAGGAGCGGAGGGGCUGGGGUUUGCUUACAUUGGUCCAACUUUGGGGCUCCACGAUAGCCGACCAAUCACUUUUUCUGUUGUAAAAGGAUUGAGAUGGCAAUACUCUCCCGUAGACAGGUACUCUAGCUCGUAUUAUGACGAAAGCCGACAACGUCAAGAGACGACCAUGAUCAAGUCCUGGCG
rnacentral:lncRNA from 1 species